AUGUCUCUGUCCCUCUGUGUCCCCNCAACCCCCUGGGUCACUGAGACCAGCGCUAGGCUUCCGAUUCAAUCUGAUGACUCCCUCCUCCCGAACUCUCAGCCAGACGCCAGCACCCAGGCACUGCAGGCCUACCCGGCUCAUCCCCUCCAGCUCCUCCUCUUUGCAAAGCUGAGAUGUGAGCCUUCCCCACAGCAAAGCUCUCCCUUCCAGGAGGUGAACCCAAGGCCUUGCUGGUCUCAGUCCCCUGGUCUGCACGGCAUCCUCAGCAACCACAGGUCCUGCUGGCGGGCUUCCUGAGCUGCACCACACCCUUCCAUCUACGCCCUGAAACCUCUUCAUCACCCACCACCAUUUCAUUUGGGCUCACAUCUCAGCUGGCUGAUAAGGUGCCAGUUUCAGUAACAGCCUAACAAUCACUGGAUUCACCGUAACUCCCUAUANNNNNNNNNNNNNNNNNNNNNNNNNNNNNNNNNNNNNNNNNNNNNNNNNNNNNNNNNNNNNNNNNNNNNNNNNNNNNNNNNNNNNNNNNNNNNNNNNNNAACAGCCUAACAAUCACUGGAUUCACCGUAACUCCCUAUAUAUGUGUUUGGCACCUAGUGAGAACUUCCUACCUUCUCCCUCUCAAUGCUGCUUCCUGGAAAUGGUGCUUUUGUUUCAUGAAGUUUAUGAGCACCAACCAUUGUUACAGGUGACCGGAUAUUAACACCAUCUCCUUGUUUUGCUGCAGAAUCACUGCUCAGAUGAUAAAGGCGAACAGCAAGCAAGAUAACAUUUGACUUUUUUCCAUUAAAACCAGUUUCAUAUAACACAGAAGUCAAGCAAAGAACUGGAUGUGAGGGGUAUUAAAAUAUGAGAAGAGCUUAUAAAGCCCACAGUAAAUAUCAAGUUACUCAAAUUUAGUUAUUCUAUUUUGCUUAAACUCUUUGUAGCCCCACAGAGAAGUUGGGCUAUCAGCUUCAGAUUGGUGCAUCAGUCUACAUCAGGGUGUUCAGGGAAGUGUGUCCACUCCUCUGGGCCAGGCCUUUCUUCAAAAGUGGGACUCACCAGACUUUGUCAAGACAAGCUCCCGGUGGUAAAGCCUGUCUCCCCCUGAGAAGGCAGAGGCGGGCAGCCCUGGAUGGACACGCUGCCCACGCACACCACCAAGCCUAGCCCUUGCACUGUGGACAGCUUGGCGGUUACUAGACCAAGUGCCUCUGCUUGCUCCUUCUCUUUCCUGAAAGGAAAGCAGGGCUAUGGGCAGUUCUUCCCUUAGGAAGUUAAAAACCACCAAAUUGUAAAGUUUGCAUUUUACCUGUCACAACCCAGUUCCUCACAGAUCAGCUAACGGAUGAGGCUGCUCCAGGCCCAGCUCCGCGCUUGUCCUGUGGUGCCUGCUGGCUCUUCACCCAGCUUGGCCUGGAGACAGGGUGGAGGCCAUGCCCGUCUUUACAGAGGGGCCCCUGGGAGCCAGGCUCAGCUCAGAGCAGUCUCCUGAAGGGUCAGAGGGUUUGUGGUGUAAGAAGCUCACUCCUCUAUCCCUCCCACUCUUCAAAUAGUACUCUCUGCCCCCUUCCCCCCAAACCCACAAAAAACAAUCAGAGGUUAUCAUAUCAUCCCUGGCUAAUAACCACUGCAGCUGUAAGGCUGGCAGACACUGAGAUACGGGGCAGAAGCACCUCUCUGCACCCCAACUUUCCAAGACACUCUGCUCCAUGAACCUCAAGCUUCUCACGGGCAGGACUGCCUACAGUGAGAAGUGCUUUCUCUGCAAGCAGCCUGGGGUCCCGCCCUCUGCCAGGAUCCCUGGGGGUGGGGUGGGGGCUGGGCAGAGGAUUUCCCCUUGGCACAGCUUCCAGCAAAGAGACAACGUGUUGUUUGGGACAAAAAAUGCUACCCUCCCUAUUCCUGGGAGAUAUGACCUUCCAGAAGUUACUGUCUGUCUCUCCGGACAAAAGCAGGACAUUCUGUAGCUGAGUAGGAAAGUGGCCCCAAGUUUUAGGAAAGAGUUGGGAUCUGAAGCACUAUUCUGAGAGAAUUUCCUCAUAAGAAAUGCCUCUUUGGUUGUUUGACAAUGAAUGUGUGCCCUAGAUUUACCAGAAAUUCAAAUAUUCUAUGAAUAGGCAGACUUUUAGGGUCUAAGUUUUUAGUUUCUUCUCGAGUAAUUUCAUUUCUUUUCAGUAAAGGAAUGUCUGGAGUGAAAUUUAACAUAUAUGGUUUCAUAAUGCACAAAUCAGAAGAUACUCCACUGGGACCUAAGUUCUGGUUCAGGGAAACAAGGUCAUGGUAGUGACACCAUGGUCAGAACUGAGCCACCUUCUCUGGAAGAUGGCCAAACCAAACACUGACGCAGGUGCGUGUCUGGAACCUCCGACAGACCAAGCUCUGCUCUCCUUGAGAUACAUUCUCUCACUGUAAAGCCAGGGGGCAGACCCGUCUUUCUAAACAGUACUCUCUUGGAACUGUUUAUCAAAAAUAUUUUUAUAGUACAAAGACUAGAGUACAAAGGAAAACCAAAUAAAAGCCCUUGGUUAAAGCUAAAAAGAAAAAGCUGUUAACUCUGCACUGCUCCAGCCUCAAACGAUAGCAUGCUGCUGGUCACUCAGAGGUGACAUCACACCCUGAUUCUCUGAGGCGUUUCGUUCCAGGCACCACUGUGUCUGAGGCAUCUGAGCAACACAUCACAGCAGGAGAAGCCAGCUUCACAGGAGAAAUGGCAAGUGUUCCCCUCAAACUCUGUCCUACAGAGUCAA
rnacentral:lncRNA from 1 species